rnacentral:rRNA from 1 species
CCCGUGAACCUUUACUAUAGCUUGACACUGAACAUUGAGCCUUGAUGUGUAGGAUAGGUGGGAGGCUUUGAAGUGUGGACGCCAGUCUGCAUGGAGCCGGCCUUGAAAUACCACCCUUUAAUGUUUGAUGUUCUAACGUGGACCCGUGAUCCGGGUUGCGGACAGUGUCUGGUGGGUAGUUUGACUGGGGCGGUCUCCUCCUAAAGAGUAACGGAGGAGCACGAAGGUUGGCUAAUCCUGGUCGGACAUCAGGAGGUUAGUGCAAUGGCAUAAGCCAGCUUGACUGCGAGCGUGACGGCGCGAGCAGGUGCGAAAGCAGGUCAUAGUGAUCCGGUGGUUCUGAAUGGAAGGGCCAUCGCUCAACGGAUAAAAGGUACUCCGGGGAUAACAGGCUGAUACCGCCCAAGAGUUCAUAUCGACGGCGGUGUUUGGCACCUCGAUGUCGGCUCAUCACAUCCUGGGGCUGAAGUAGGUCCCAAGGGUAUGGCUGUUCGCCAUUUAAAGUGGUACGCGAGCUGGGUUUAGAACGUCGUGAGACAGUUCGGUCCCUAUCUGCCGUGGGCGCUGGAGAACUGAGGGGGGCUGCUCCUAGUACGAGAGGACCGGAGUGGACGCAUCACUGGUGUUCGGGUUGUCAUGCCAAUGGCACUGCCCGGUAGCUAAAUGCGGAAGAGAUAAGUGCUGAAAGCAUCUAAGCACGAAACUUGCCCCGAGAUGAGUUCUCCCUGAGACUUUAGGUCUCCUGAAGGAACGUUGAAGACGACGACGUUGAUAGGCCGGGUGUGUAAGCGCAGCGAUGCGUUGAGCUAACCGGUACUAAUGAACCGUGAGGCUUAACCUUACA